rnacentral:lncRNA from 1 species
GCAGAGACAGGACAAUAUAUUAUACAUAUGUAUAUAGAGUGUCGCAGAUGGUUGUGAUCAUUACAUAAUACAUGGUCAGCAUGGAAUGUGGAGACGUACAAACAGUGUCUUUAAUAUCAUUAGGUCUACAUAUAUAUUAUGAUGCAUAAACAAAAGACAUUUGGAUAUUGUUUUCCAAAUAAGACAUAAACGUCGUUGGUAGACAAAAGAUGGUACAUACAGUGACCAAGAUUAGGAAUAGUAGUCAGGCUGCAUUAUAGCCAUUACAGGUUUUUUGCGUAUCAGAUGGAUGUUGAAUCCUAUCAUUUUUUCCCAUGUACCACACAUCCGUCAUGGCAAGGAAAAUCUUGGUCAGUUCAUACAGAAUGGGUUGUAUAGAACGAUUUGUAGUUUUGAUACUUAAGUACCAUGUGCAAAAAAUCUGGUAGCUACAAAUUAGUAGUCAUAAAGCAUAAUGGUAUAAAAGUGAUUUAUAUGGUAAAUCUUUGUAAGUCAUUUUCCAUUGCAGUUGUAAUUUUGGUAAGUUAGUAUUUGAUUCUCCAAAUUUUAAAUUAACUUAUUUGACUGUAAGAAAAGCUAUUGUCAUUAGAUGUUUGGCAUUGUUUGUUUAAUUUUGAGCAACAAUAAUUAGCAUGUGUGUCUUGAGGGCAGUUGCACAGUGGGGGGAAAUAGCCUUUACAUACAAUGCAGGAAGUGAAUGAAAUAGUCAUACAUUUAUCCUUAUCGGAUGCAUCCUCAUCGCAAUCAAAUUUUAAAGAUUUGCGUCUAGCCCUGAUUCAAAAACAACGGUGAAAUGAUGGAUUUCAGAAGGGAGAAGAUCGUCAUUUUGUGCAUUUUAUUUCAGUACCUUUUCGGUGGUGACUCAAAAGACUGUAGAUUUUGGUCUUCAAUUCCAAGGCUGCCUUGAGCUUCAAGGUUGUUAUGUUGCUGGCAUGUAAAUCAAUGUGUAAGCAUAGGGACAUGUAAAGCUAAAUAAGUUGGAAAAAAUGAAGUAUUAAACACGUUGAGUUUGACUUACAUCUAGAGAAUGGUUGUUGAUAGGUUGGACAAUGUUGUAGAGGGUGAAAUUUUUUGUUUUGUUCUAGAUAGUAGUUUUGUUGGAGUUGACGGAUAUGCUAGAAUGUUUAAUUUGUUUGAUGGCAAGGAUAGGUUUCUUCCAUCUGAAGCUAUAAAUGACAUUUUGUUGUAAACAACUACGAAUGUGACACAAUUUGAAAUACGGCUCAAACCAAAAAGACAGCAGCAACGUAAUAGAAGGAAGAAAGUAAUAUUUGCAUAGGUAGUGAGAAUAAACAUAGUACUCACUUGUAUGCUUUGAUUGUUGAAAGAUCCAAUUGAACGUAAUAGAAGGAAAAAAGUAAUAUUUGCAUAUGUAGUAAGAAUAAACAUAUUACUCACUUGUAUGUUUUGCUUGUUGAAAGAUCCAAUUCUUGCGACCAUACACCUUAGCGCCAACACAAAUAGCUACAGAGGCACGUUUUGAGCAAAAGAAAAACAAAGCAUAAAUAAAUUAGAGUACAACCACACAAAUAGACGUAAUAAUAGACGACUGAUAUCAAUAAAAAGCCUAAGGCAUUGCAUAAGAGAAGUGCAUUGAAAAUAGAAUAUAAUUACAUAAAUGGAGAUAAUAAUAGAGGAUUGAUAUGAAGCCAAAACAUCCAGGUUUUAAGUAAUAUACACAUAAAUAGUAAUCCGAAACAUCCAAAUUGUAUGGCAUACUACAUAAGAAGUAACGGAAUACAGUCACUCAAAUGAAGGCAAUAAUAGAGGACUGAGAUCAAUAAGGAGGCCUAGCCAGAGCAUUGAAGAGAAGAGCAACAAAAAUAGAAUACAACCAUGUAAAUAGAAGCAACAGGACUAAUAUUAAGCUGAAACUUUUAGGUUUUAAGCAAGAUCGUCAUCUACAACAGAAUUUAAUAAUAGACGACUGAUAUCAAUGAAAACGAUAAUGCAUUGCAUAAGAAAAUAGCAUUGGAAAUAGAAUAUAGUUACAUAAUUGGAGAUAAAAAUAGAGGAUUGAUAUGAAGGCAAAACUUCUAGAUUUUAAGCAAUAUACACAUAAAUAGUAAUCUUAAACAGCCGAAUUGUAUGUGAUAUUACAUAAGAAGUAAGAGAAUACAGUCACUCAAAUGAAGGUAAUAAUAGAGGACAUAUAUCAAGCAAGAGGCCUAGUCAGAGCAUUCAAGAAAAGAGCAUAAAAAUAAAAUACAACCACGUAAAUAGAGGCAACAAUCGAGGACUAAUAUUAAGCUGAAACUUCCAGGUUUUAAGCAAGAUUGUCAUCUAUAACGAAAUACUUACAACGAAUGAAUGUAAAUGUAAGUAGGGCUUGGGUGAUAUAACAUUUGAUGAUCAGGCGCAUAAUGCACGUAAAAAAAUAUAUAUGGGCCGAACUAAAAAGGUAUUAGCAAUGUAAAAGAUGAAAGACAGUAACAUUUACGUAGGUAGUAACAAUGAACACAAUAUUUACAUAUAUGAUUUUGCGGCUGACACUUCGCAGCAAGAGGCUAAGUCGGAGCAUUAAGAAAAGAGCAUAAAAAGUAAAAUACGACCACAUAAAUAGAGACGGUAAUGGAAGAGUAAUAUUAAGCUAAAAUAUGCAGAUUUGAAGCAAUAUUCCCAUGUAUAACAUAAUUCUUACAACUAAUGAAUGCAAUUGUAAAUAGGCUUUGGGUGGUAUACAUAUUGAAGACCUAUAAAAGGCAAUUGGUUGUAUCAUGUAAAGCGUGAGUAAAGAAAUUUUAAGAAGACAAUACAAUAAGAUGAACUAAAAUAUUCCAUGAAUACACCCCAAAAUAACAUAUACUGUAGAAAAGGUCCAAAAAAAUAAGAAAGGUUAGAUUGAAGUCUACAUUUGUAUGUUGGACCCCUGACCAUGCCUUAUAUUAGCACAGAGCGAAUCACCUUUUAUUUUAGGGAAAUGCAAUACCCUAAUCUUGUUUGUAAAGGGGGUAAAAAAAAUGAAGGAGCAUAGAUAUUAGGUAGCAGUCCAAAUGCACGAACGCGUUUGUGGAUGCGGGGCGAGCAGUAAAAAGCAAAGGCAGGUCCAUUUCAGGGGAAAACACAUUUCAGAGAAAAACACAUUUAGGGUUUCUAAUGUGGCAUAAUAAAAGAGAUCAAAAGGCAUCUAUGCCUUAUAGUGUAGGUAGACUAAAAAAGGGCAGCAAAAACAUGCGUGCUUUCAAGUGUACAUGGAGACCCCAUUGCAAAGAUUCAAAACCAAACGCAAUGUCUCCAUACUGGAAAGCAAUCAGAGUUUGGGACCCUUCUACUGAGCAACGAAUAGGGUAAAGGAAAGUGAAGCCUGAAAAGGAUCUAUUUACCUCCAAGAAACGACGGCGGCGGGGGCUGGACGCACGUUGAGGCAGCGGCGGCGUCGCUGUCGGCGCUAGCAGCGUGGUCGUUGUGGUAAGAAGGAGCAAGCAGACCGAGAGCCUUCUAGGCGGUGCCGGCGUGUUUUCCUUUUUUUUUAUUGACCAG